rnacentral:rRNA from 1 species
GAUCAGAAUGCUGCGGUGAAUACGUUCCCGGGUCUUGUACACACCGCCCGUCACACCAUGGGAGUCAUCAAUGCCCGAAGUCAGUGACCUAACCGUAAGGAAGGAGCUGCCGAAGGCAGGGAGGAUAACUGGGGUGAAGUCGUAACAAGGUAGCCGUAUCGGAAGGUGCGGCUGGAUCACCUCCUUUCUAAGGAG